rnacentral:rRNA from 1 species
UACGUAGGGUGCAAGCGUUGUCCGGAAUCACUGGGCGUAAAGGGCGCGUAGGUGGUUUGAUAAGGGUGUGGUGAAAGUCCGGGGCUCAACCCCGGAUCUGCCGUGCCGACUGUCAAACUCGAGGACUGUAGAGGCAGACGGAAUUCCGGGUGUAGCGGUGGAAUGCGUAGAGAUCCGGAGGAAGACCGGUGGCGAAGGCGGUCUGCUGGGCAGUUUCUGACACUGAGGCGCGACAGCGUGGGGAGCAACAGG